AGUGGCGGACGGGUGAGUAACACGUGAGAAUUUGCCUUUAGGAAGGGGAUAACAAUUGGAAACAAAUGCUAAUACCCCAUAUGCUUUUGAGUGAAAUGGAUUUAUCCGCCUAGAGAGAAGCUCGCGGCUGAUUAGCUUGUUGGUAAGGUAAGAGCUUACCAAGGCGACGAUCAGUAUCUGGUUUGAGAGGACGAUCAGACACACUGGAACUGAGACACGGUCCAGACUCCUACGGGAGGCAGCAGUGGGGAAUUUUCCGCAAUGGGCGAAAGCCUGACGGAGCAAUACCGCGUGAGGGAAGACUGCCUAUGGGUUGUAAACCUCUUUUUUCAGGGAGGAAUAAAAUGACGUGUACCUGAAGAAUAAGCAUCGGCUAACUCCGUGCCAGCAGCCGCGGUAAGACGGAGGAUGCAAGUGUUAUCCGGAAUCACUGGGCGUAAAGCGUCUGUAGGUUGUUUAAUAAGUCAACUGUUAAAGCUUGAGGCUCAACUUCAAAAUCGCAGUCGAAACUAUUAGACUAGAGUAUAGUAGAGGUAAAGGGAAUUUCCAGUGGAGCGGUGAAAUGCGUAGAUAUUGGAAAGAACACCGAUUGCGAAAGCACUUUACUGGGCUAUUACUAACACUCAGAGACGAAAGCUAGGGUAGCAAAUGGGAUUAGAUACCCCAGUAGUCCUAGCCGUAAGCAAUGGUUACUAGAUGU
rnacentral:rRNA from 1 species